rnacentral:rRNA from 1 species
UACGUAGGGCGCAAGCGUUGUCCGGAAUUAUUGGGCGUAAAGAGCUCGUAGGCGGUUUGUCGCGUCUGCUGUGAAAACCUAAGGCUCAACCUUGGGCUUGCAGUGGAUACGGGCAGGCUAGAGUUCGGUAGGGGAGACUGGAAUUCCUGGUGUAGCGGUGAAAUGCGCAGAUAUCAGGAGGAACACCGGUGGCGAAGGCGGUUCUCUGGGCCUGUACUGACGCUGAGGAGCGAAAGCGUGGGGAGCGAACAGG